ACGAGACGGGAUGGAAUGACCCUUCGGGGGAAUGAAAUCCUAGAAAGUGGCGAACGGGUGAGUAACGCGUGGGUAACCUGCCCUAUGGAAAGGAAUAGCCUCGGGAAACUGGGAGUAAUGCCUUAUAAUAUACGAGAGUCGCAUGGCUUUUGUAUUAAACGCUCCGGUGCCAUAGGAUGGACCCGCGUCCCAUUAGCUAGUUGGUGAGAUAACAGCCCACCAAGGCAACGAUGGGUAACCGGUCUGAGAGGGCGAACGGUCACACUGGAACUGAGACACGGUCCAGACUCCUACGGGAGGCAGCAGUGGGGAAUAUUGCGCAAUGGGGGCAACCCUGACGCAGCAAUACCGCGUGAGUGAAGAAGGUUUUCGGAUCGUAAAGCUCUGUUAUUGGGGAAGAAAAAAGACGGUACCCAAGAAGAAAGUCCCGGCUAACUACGUGCCAGCAGCCGCGGUAAUACGUAGGGGACAAGCGUUGUCCGGAUUUACUGGGCGUAAAGGGCACGCAGGCGGUUUUUUAAGUCAGAUGUGAAAGGUACCGGCUCAACCGGUGACAUGCAUUUGAAACUGAAAGACUUGAGUAUUGGAGAGGCAAGUGGAAUUCCUAGUGUAGCGGUGA
rnacentral:rRNA from 1 species